GAGUUUGAUCAUGGCUCAGAUUGAACGCUGGCGGCAGGCCUAACACAUGCAAGUCGAGCGGAUGACGGGAGCUUGCUCCUUGAUUCAGCGGCGGACGGGUGAGUAAUACCUAGGAAUCUGCCUGAUAGUGGGGGACAACGUUUCGAAAGGAACGCUAAUACCGCAUACGCCCUACGGGAGAAAGCAGGGGACCUUCGGGCCUUGCGCUAUCAGAUGAGCCUAGGUCGGAUUAGCUAGUUGGUGAGGUAAUGGCUCACCAAGGCGACGAUCCGUAACUGGUCUGAGAGGAUGAUCAGUCACACUGGAACUGAGACACGGUCCAGACUCCUACGGGAGGCAGCAGUGGGGAAUAUUGGACAAUGGGCGAAAGCCUGAUCCAGCCAUGCCGCGUGUGUGAAGAAGGUCUUCGGAUUGUAAAGCACUUUAAGUUGGGAGGAAGGGCAGUAAGCUAAUACCUUGCUGUUUUGACGUUACCGACAGAAUAAGCACCGGCUAACUCUGUGCCAGCAGCCGCGGUAAUACAGAGGGUGCAAGCGUU
rnacentral:rRNA from 1 species